GGCAGGUCGGGGGCGGUCUGUGCAUACCGGAGAAGCUGGAUCCGGCCCCUCCGGGCAGCCCGGGGACAGGCACCGGACUGGAGCUGAACAGCGUGGCCACAAGGGCUGAAGCAAGGACUUAAAUCAGCAGCGGGGUGGGGGAAAAAAAACUACUCCGAGCCAGGCAGGAGUCGAACCUACAAUCUUCUGAUCCGUAGUCAGACGCGUUAUCCAUUGCGCCACUGGCCCAGCACGCGGCCUGGCUCCGCUGCGGUGUGUGAUACAGCUGAGCUGCGGGGCGGCUGGGAGGGUUCCUGCAGGUGCUCCUUCGUGUCCGCCCUCCCAGCCCCUCCGGGCCACCACCCCAAGCCCCGGGACCCCCGUCCCGUGCUGGUACCAGCUCGGCGUGUGAGCCGGGCCCCGGCUGCCUGUACCCACACGUACACGACAACUACUUCGCAGCCAGCAGGCUCCAGCUCGGCGAGAGGCUUUAUACAUCUCCGGAGAAUACUUUCCCAUGUCCCUUCGAUAGCUCAGCUGGUAGAGCGGAGGACUGUAGUGGAAGUACUUGUCGAUAUCCUUAGGUCGCUGGUUCGAUUCCGGCUCGAAGGAGGCUUAUUUUUUUUUAAUCCUCCUACCCCUGCUGGGGGCAGCCGGGUUUCUCAGGGCUCAGUUGCUCCGAAAUGAGAGCUGCUCGGCGCGGACUGUAUAAGGAUCGGGCCAAAACAUGACAAUCAAUUCACAACUGUUCCUCAGCCCUGGAGUGAGCAUGGGGGAAUGGAUCGUAUUGAGAUCUUAGAAGAACAGUGGAGAAAGAAGCAACAGACAGCCAGUUCCACGGAGAAGUGAGCAAGCAAACAGGACAUUCCUUCUUAGACAGCUCAUCUGGAAACUGCAGUCAGACUGUGUUUGCUCCCAGUUUAUGAGUCUGUGUGAUAGCUGCGGUGGCUGUCCCCAAUUAGCUGAGUUUUCUCAUUUGCAUUUGUCGGCUGGAGUAU